ACACAUGCAAGUCGAGGGGCAGCAUCAUUAAAGCUUGCUUUGAUGGAUGGCGACCGGCGCACGGGUGAGUAACACGUAUCCAACCUGCCGACAACACUGGGAUAGCCUUUCGAAAGAAAGAUUAAUACCGGAUGGCAUAGUCUUCCCGCAUGGGAUGACUAUUAAAGAAUUUCGGUUGUCGAUGGGGAUGCGUUCCAUUAGGCAGUUGGCGGGGUAACGGCCCACCAAACCAACGAUGGAUAGGGGUUCUGAGAGGAAGGUCCCCCACAUUGGAACUGAGACACGGUCCAAACUCCUACGGGAGGCAGCAGUGAGGAAUAUUGGUCAAUGGACGAGAGUCUGAACCAGCCAAGUAGCGUGAAGGAUGACUGCCCUAUGGGUUGUAAACUUCUUUUAUACGGGAAUAAAGUGAGCCACGUGUGGCUUUUUGUAUGUACCGUAUGAAUAAGGAUCGGCUAACUCCGUGCCAGCAGCCGCGGUAAUACGGAGGAUCCGAGCGUUAUCCGGAUUUAUUGGGUUUAAAGGGAGCGUAGGCGGGUUGUUAAGUCAGUUGUGAAAGUUUGCGGCUCAACCGUAAAAUUGCAGUUGAUACUGGCGACCUUGAGUGCAACAGAGGUAGGCGGAAUUCGUGGUGUAGCGGUGAAAUGCUUAGAUAUCACGAAGAACUCCGAUUGCGAAGGCAGCUUACUGGAUUGUAACUGACGCUGAUGCUCGAAAGUGUGGGUAUCAAACAGGAUUAGAUACCCUGGUAGUCCACACAGUAAACGAUGAAUACUCGCUGUUGGCGAUAUACGGUCAGCGGCCAAGCGAAAGCAUUAAGUAUUCCACCUGGGGAGUACGCCGGCAACGGUGAAACUCAAAGGAAUUGACGGGGGCCCGCACAA
rnacentral:rRNA from 1 species